rnacentral:rRNA from 1 species
UGGGGAAUCUUCCGCAAUGGACGAAAGUCUGACGGAGCAACGCCGCGUGAGUGAAGACGGCCUUCGGGUUGUAAAGCUCUGUGAUCCGGGACGAAAGAGCCUGAGGUAAAUAGCCUAAGGAAGUGACGGUACCGGAAAGGCAAGCCACGGCUAACUACGUGCCAGCAGCCGCGGUAAUACGUAGGUGGCAAGCGUUGUCCGGAAUUAUUGGGCGUAAAGCGCGCGCAGGCGGCUUCCUAAGUCCAUCUUAAAAGUGCGGGGCUUAACCCCGUGAUGGGAUGGAAACUGGGAAGCUGGAGUAUCGGAGAGGAAAGUGGAAUUCCUAGUGUAGCAGUGAAAUGCGUAGAGAUUAGGAAGAACACCGGUGGCGAAGGCGACUUUCUGGACGAAAACUGACGCUGAGGCGCGAAAGCGUGGGGAGCAAACAGG